AGUCGAGCGGAUGAAGGAGCUUGCUCCUGGAUUCAGCGGCGGACGGGUGGGUAAUGCCUAGGAAUCUGCCUGGUAGUGGGGGACAACGUUUCGAAAGGAACGCUAAUACCGCAUACGUCCUACGGGAGAAAGCAGGGGACCUUCGGGCCUUGCGCUAUCAGAUGAGCCUAGGUCGGAUUAGCUAGUUGGUGAGGUAAUGGCUCACCAAGGCGACGAUCCGUAACUGGUCUGAGAGGAUGAUCAGUCACACUGGAACUGAGACACGGUCCAGACUCCUACGGGAGGCAGUAGUGGGGAAUAUUGGACAAUGGGCGAAAGCCUGAUCCAGCCAUGCCGCGUGUGUGAAGAAGGUCUUCGGAUUGUAAAGCACUUUAAGUUGGGAGGAAGGGUUGUAGAUUAAUACUCUGCAAUUUUGACGUUACCGACAGAAUAAGCACCUCCUAACUCUGCGCCAGCAGCCGCGGUAAUACAGAGGGUGCAAGCGUUAAUCGGAAUUACUGGGCGUAAAGCGCGCGUAGGUGGUUUGUUAAGUUGGAUGUGAAAUCCCCGGGCUCAACCUGGGAACUGCAUCCAAAACUGGCAAGCUAGAGUAUGGUAGAGGGUGGUGGAAUUUCCUGUGUAGCGGUGAAAUGCGUAGAUAUAGGA
rnacentral:rRNA from 1 species